CCCUGGCUGAGUUCCCUCAGGAGGCCACCUCUAGCCCAGUACUGAAAAUUUAAACCCCCACUAGCUUGACUGUUUUUCAAGAUGUACAAACCUACUUAGUGGAACAGAGAAUCACAGGCUCCGUACAAGGCUCAACAGAACCCCCAGGCCAGUGGCUUUUGAUUGCAACCCCUUCUAGCAGGGAAGGGAAGUGCACAGGAAGACUCCUACU
rnacentral:lncRNA from 1 species